rnacentral:rRNA from 1 species
UACGAAGGGGGCUAGCGUUGCUCGGAAUCACUGGGCGUAAAGGGUGCGUAGGCGGGGCUUUAAGUCAGGGGUGAAAUCCUGGAGCUCAACUCCAGAACUGCCUUUGAUACUGAAGAUCUUGAGUUCGGGAGAGGUGAGUGGAACUGCGAGUGUAGAGGUGAAAUUCGUAGAUAUUCGCAAGAACACCAGUGGCGAAGGCGGCUCACUGGCCCGGUACUGACGCUGAGGCACGAAAGCGUGGGGAGCAAACAGG